rnacentral:rRNA from 1 species
UACAGAGGUGGCAAGCAUUGUUCGGAAUUACUGGGCGUAAAGCGCGUGUAGGCGGCUCUUCAAGUCAGGCGUGAAAGCCCCGGGCUCAACUCGGGAACUGCGCUUGACACUGUCGAGCUAGAGUGUGGAAGGGGCGAUUGGAAUUCCGUGUGUAGCGGUGAAAUGCGUAGAUAUACGGAGGAACACCAGAGGCGAAGGCGGAUCGCUGGGCCAACACUGACGCUGAGACGCGAAAGCUAGGGUAGCAAACGGG